UGAGCCACCAGUAAAUGGGAGCACGCCAGCCUCACUUCACCCCCGCCUCUGAGACUGCAAGUGUGGUUUUACAUCUUUAUGAGUCUGCGUGUGUGCUGCCGCCAGCUCGGGCAGGAAGGGAGGAGGACACUACUGUUGACGAGCUCUUUCCUGAUAACACUGACGUUUUCUGUAAAUGCUGGUAAGAGGAGGCGUGGGGCAGUAAUGGCUGGAAUAAAAAUGGCUAGUAUACACGGAAUGCCUGCUAUGUUGUUCCGGGCACUGAGUACUCACUGAAAGCAACAGUUACCAGGAAGGAAACUACCAAGAUAAGAACAUGUGAUAAGACCAUCAAAUGAAGAUCAUAAAAUUUGAGUUGUACCAAUUUAUAACUGCAGUGACUCCCCUGUAGUGUGAGCAUCGAGAUGGACGAUGGGGUGGAGAGCUGACAGGUAACUACGAGCUGCACACGUCAUGUUCUGGACGAAUUGUGGAUGAGUAAUCAGGAAACCAGAAGAAGAUGAGUUAGAAGGGUAGAGGGACUGGUUUAGCUAAAAGGUUGAAACUGGUUGUCCAGGGGGCUGAAGCUGGUCCAGACAUUAGGCUUGGCUCAUGUAAGGCUUUAAAAAAACCUCUGAAUUGCUUACCCACCAACAGAUACCUCCUGAACUGGAGUAUUUGGGAACACUGGCCUGGACCCCCUCAGCACUGAGGAGAGCAGCUGUUUACCGUGGUCCCUUCCUCUCUUCCUGGUACUUGCAAGCAGCCAGUUGGAUACUAUCUUUCAUACAAGCAGUCGGCAGGAGCCUCAGAGAGCCAAAACUGAGGGGAUGUUUACCUACAGAGAUCCAAAGCAAGCAGAUCUGCUCAUGUAAUUCAUAAACUCCACGGGGAAAAACAACUCGCUGCUUGAUAAGGAACUGCUUUUUGUCUGCAUUACCUGCCUUGCUAAUUCUGCUGCGUGGCCAGCUGCGCGACCGCUGACCCAAACACAAACGGCUAGCAAAAGCAGAAGCUGGUCACUACUUACGUGGAAGAAAGGCUUGAUCAUUUUGCAGGGCCCGCACCACGUGGCCGAGAAGUCGACUACCACCAGCUUAUCUCCC